CAGCCGCCGCGGUAAUGCAGAGGGUGCGAGCGUUAGUCGGAUUUACUGGGCGUAAAGCGUGCGUAGGCGGCUUUUUAAGUCGGAUGUGAAAUCCCCGAGCUUAACUUGGGAAUUGCAUUCGAUACUGGGAAGCUAGAGUAUGGGAGAGGAUGGUAGAAUUCCAGGUGUAGCGGUGAAAUGCGUAGAGAUCUGGAGGAAUACCGAUGGCGAAGGCAGCCAUCUGGCCUAAUACUGACGCUGAGGUGCGAAAGCAUGGGGAGCAAACAGGAUUAGAUACCCGGGUAGUCCCUGUCUCUUAUAC
rnacentral:rRNA from 1 species